rnacentral:rRNA from 1 species
GAUGAACGCUGGCGGCGUGCCUAAUACAUGCAAGUCGAGCGAACAGACGAGGAGCUUGCUCCUCUGACGUUAGCGGCGGACGGGUGAGUAACACGUGGAUAACCUACCUAUAAGACUGGGAUAACUUCGGGAAACCGGAGCUAAUACCGGAUAAUAUAUUGAACCGCAUGGUUCAAUAGUGAAAGACGGUUUUGCUGUCACUUAUAGAUGGAUCCGCGCCGCAUUAGCUAGUUGGUAAGGUAACGGCUUACCAAGGCAACGAUGCGUAGCCGAACUGAGAGGGUGAUCGGCCACACUGGAACUGAGACACGGUCCAGACUCCUACGGGAGGCAGCAGUAGGGAAUCUUCCGCAAUGGGCGAAAGCUUGACGGAGCAACGCCGCGUGAGUGAUGAAGGUCUUCGGAUCGUAAAACUCUGUUAUUAGGGAAGAACAAAUGUGUAAGUAACUAUGCACGUCUUGACGGUACCUAAUCAGAAAGCCACGGCUAACUACGUG